rnacentral:tRNA from 1 species
GGUGACAUAGCUCACUUAUAGAGCACAUGCCUAUCAUGGAUGAGGUCCUGGGUUCAAUCCCCAGUUACACAG